GAUGAACGCUGGCGGCGUGCCUAAUACAUGCAAGUCGAGCGAACGGACGAGAAGCUUGCUUCUCUGAUGUUAGCGGCGGACGGGUGAGUAACACGUGGAUAACCUACCUAUAAGACUGGGAUAACUUCGGGAAACCGGAGCUAAUACCGGACAAUAUUUUGAACCGCAUGGUUCAAAAGUGAAAGACGGUCUUGCUGUCACUUAUAGAUGGAUCCGCGCUGCAUUAGCUAGUUGGUAAGGUAACGGCUUACCAAGGCAACGAUGCAUAGCCGACCUGAGAGGGUGAUCGGCCACACUGGAACUGAGACACGGUCCAGACUCCUACGGGAGGCAGCAGUAGGGAAUCUUCCGCAAUGGGCGAAAGCCUGACGGAGCAACGCCGCGUGAGUGAUGAAGGUCUUCGGAUCGUAAAACUCUGUUAUUAGGGAAGAACAUAUGUGUAAGUAACUGUGCACAUCUUGACGGUACCUAAUCAGAAAGCCACGGCUAACAACGUG
rnacentral:rRNA from 1 species